rnacentral:rRNA from 1 species
GACGGGGGGUCCUAGCGUUGUUCGGAAUCAUUGGGCGUAAAGCGUGUGCAGGUGGCUUUGAAAGUUAGAUGUGAAAGCCCCGGGCUUAACCCGGGAAGUGCAUUUAAAACUUCAAAACUUGAGUAUGGAAGAGGGUCGUGGAAUUCCAGGUGUAGUGGUGAAAUACGUAGAUAUCUGGAGGAACACCGGCGGCGAAGGCGGCGACCUGGUCCUAUACUGACACUCAUACACGAAAGCGUGGGGAUCAAACAGG